GAAAAAUAGUUUAAUAGUUUCAUCUCGCUUUCUGCUAUUAUUUCAUUGCUGUUUUGUUGAUUAUCUGAUUGCUAUUCCAUUUUGCGAGCACUCCACUAUCUGUUUCUAGGGUUUUCUAUUCUAUCAUUUCCGUGAUACUUUCUUGUUCUUUUGAUUGGGGGAUGACUAUUAGGGUUUCGCUUAUUUAAUCAGUUUUUGUUUUAAGAUUUUGUUGCGUGUUUAGUUGUCUACGCUUAUGUAAUUAGUAUAUGGCUUUACCUAUUUUUUUUUUAGUGGUG
rnacentral:misc_RNA from 1 species